UGUCUGUGGAACUCAACCUCCGUAUUCUCCCCUUCAACUUCAUCUUGCUUCUUCCAGCUGGAAAAAAGGAAAAGUGCUAAUACUGAGCCUGAAUUCACUGUCACAGAGGAUAAGAGCAGGGAAAGGCAUUAUGAGGUUUCUUGAUGAUAGAAGCAAAAGCACUUGGAAUAGCCCUGAUCCAGGGUAGCGGCUGUCAUCAUGGCUCUGGCAUCUCCGACCAAUCCCUACUGACCACAUUUUGGCCAUCACACUGCUCAUUAGUACCUCUAACACCAGGUGAAGAGGCGUAUAUUUGAAAGAUACUACCUGGAAGGCCUCGGAAGAAGGCAUCAGAGUGGAGACUGAAAGUUGCUAAAAGUGUGCUUGCCCUAGAACAGAGUGAUUGGUGCUAAUCAAUGAGCAGAGGUGCCAUGAAUGGAAAAAAAAAAUC